GAUCAUCUCAUACCCAUCACACAUCCAAAGCUUUAAGAUUUAAACACAUGGAUUUAUGAAAUGGCUGCAACAUAAUUUUCCAAGAAUUCCAGAAUUAGGAGGGCAAAAGGAAGAGGAAAUUUCACCUGGACAGCAGCAUCAGAAAGCACACAAAAAAAUACUGGGGAAAAAAGGUUGUACUGACAAUUGUCUAAAAACAAAUUUGCAGCUAAUCUACAGGAGUCUGAGGUUACUGGAGUGCUGGAGAUAAUAGAGUUGAGCGUUUUCACAAGAGGAAGAUCUAUUACUUUUUGUAGAUGAAUUUGAAUAAACUUUGAUGAGUUAAA